ACUCACUUUUGGAGUUGCUUGUUGCGGCGUUUCGGAUCUAAUUAAGCUUUGGUCUUUUGAGAGAUUUUCUUUGUACUCCGCCUUUUCGACAUUAAUAAAGUAUUUGCUCCGUCUUCACCCAUGGACGUAGGCCGUUGGCCGAACCACGUAAAUAUCAGUGUGCUCUUUCCGCUUAUCUUUUCUUUUCUUGCAUUAAAUUAUUUUCUGGAUCUAUUUUUCGUCGUUCCGAUUUUUAACAAACCAUAGGAUACUAAAAUAAAAAAAUACGAAACCACAGGGGUGGUAUUUGAAGUUUUUCCAAAAAAAUUAUACUAGAUGAACUUGAUUUCCGUCAAUCAGUACGCAUAUCUUUAG
rnacentral:lncRNA from 1 species